UACGGGGGGGGCAAGCGUUGUUCGGAAUUACUGGGCGUAAAGGGCUCGUAGGUGGCCAACUAAGUCAGACGUGAAAUCCCUCAGCUUAACUGGGGAACUGCGUCUGAUACUGGAUGGCUUGAGUUUGGGAGAGGGAUGCGGAAUUCCAGGUGUAGCGGUGAAAUGCGUAGAUAUCGAGAGGAACACCUGCGGCGAAGGCAGCACUCUGGGCCGGUACUGACGCUGAGGAGCGAAAGCGUGGGGAGCAAACAGG
rnacentral:rRNA from 1 species